rnacentral:misc_RNA from 1 species
GAUGAAGAACGCAGCGAAAUGCGAUACUUGGUGUGAAUUGCAGAAUCCCGUGAACCAUCGAGUCUUUGAACGCAAGUUGCGCCUCAAGCCGUUAGGUUGAGGGCACGUCUGCCUGGGCGUCACAUAUCGUUGCCUGAUGCCAGUUUCCUCGUGAUGGGUGACUGUGCAGGGCGAAUGAUGGCUUCCCGUGAGCAUUGUUGCCUCAUGGUUGGUUGAAAAUUGAGUCCUUGGUAGGGAGCGCCGUGAUAGAUGGUGGUUGAGUGACGAACGAGACCCAAUCAUGUGAGACCCCUACCGAAUUUGGCCUUCAUGACCCACAUGCGUCUUUGGAACGCUCAUGACGAGACCUCAGGUCAGGCGGGGCUACCCGCUGAGUUUAAGCAUAUCAAUAAGCGGAGGA